UUGUUUCAUACCUGAGCUAUUUGGUCUUGAUUAGCACUCGGGGACCCUCCGUGCCGUUGAUAUUCCGUGAUUUUUAGCAUUAUCCGGUUAUUAUAUAAGGAAUCCAAAGCAAUCUCAGGUGAGUACAUAGUUCCCCUCUUUUACUGUUUUCUGAACUGUUUUGGGGUGAAGCAUGUGUGCUGUCUUGAGAUGAUUGUUGAUGCAUGCUACAUUUAGGAUGGACUCGUGCCUUAGCAACUUUAAAACUUGGAAGAUCAUAGUUGUACUUAUGUGAUUGUAAUAGAACAACGAGUUCAUUUAAUCAAUAAAACAAUAUUUAAAUUUCCAUGUGUUAUGAAACAAUGAUUCUGUUACAACACUCCCCGACGUUUCCGCCACGUUUUGUAUGUUCUACGUGGUCGGGGUGUGACAGUACAAGUUUUAAAGUUAGAUGAAAAAACAUCCUCUUUUUUGAUGAUAAAUUCAACUUUAUGUAUUAGUAAUAUGUUUGGUAUAAAUGAUGUUUAGUUCUUACUCUUAUUUCAAUUUUUUAACACUUUCGUCUAUGCUUCAGAUGUCGAGAUGUAACCACAAUAUGGCUGGCUUGGAGGCGUGUACUGCCACCAUGCCACAUGAGAUGACACGUUCGGCGCCUUUCGCACCACAAUACUUAGAUUUGGGAGACUGUAACUGCAUUUGUGAUUACCAUGGUUUGUUGUUUUGGUUUGACGAGCCAAAAAUGUCCUCUCUUUUGAGUUGAAUACUAAGACCAAAGUACACGUCUAAUUUUGUAAUGACUAUAAUAAGGAAAAAAUUUUCAGAAGCCGUAAAUCUGU
rnacentral:lncRNA from 1 species